CUCGUAGGCGGUUCGUCGCGUCCGGUGUGAAAGUCCAUCGCCUAACGGUGGAUCUGCGCCGGGUACGGGCGGGCUGGAGUGCAGUAGGGGAGACUGGAAUUCCCGGUGUAACGGUGGAAUGUGUAGAUAUCGGGAAGAACACCAAUGGCGAAGGCAGGUCUCUGGGCCGUUACUGACGCUGAGGAGCGAAAGCGUGGGGAGCGAACA
rnacentral:rRNA from 1 species